ensembl:lncRNA
GUGUGACUUUCUCCAGAUUAUCCAUCACGGCUUCACGAACCCUGCAGCCCUCACUUAUAAUACAGCACGCGGCGCCGUUAAUCAGAAGCAGCCGGUUCUGGGGGCCCGAAGGUCAUCAGCCGAGGAGAGGAAAUUAUCGAUGGAAAUAAAGCUCCUCAAGAUCCUGAAGGUCUCUGAACACGUUUGGCUUUGGCUCGCCUCACAAAUCCACAACGCAAACAGCGGCGGCCGCGUCGGACCGGCUGCCGACACGUCUGCUCAGCGGCUGUUUAUUUAAACCUGCGCGGCCCCUUGCCGGGGGGGGGGGCUCCUCGGGGGCCUCCUCGGGGCCCCCCGGCUUGUUUGAGAAUCCGUUCACACCUGGGGCUUAAAUUACUGACACUAACAAUGCAAGAAAU